GAUGAACGCUGGCGGCGUGCUUAACACAUGCAAGUCGAACGGUGAAGCCAAGCUUGCUUGGUGGAUCAGUGGCGAACGGGUGAGUAACACGUGAGCAACCUGCCCUGGACUCUGGGAUAAGCGCUGGAAACGGCGUCUAAUACUGGAUAUGAGCUCUCAUCGCAUGGUGGGGGUUGGAAAGAUUUUUCGGUCUGGGAUGGGCUCGCGGCCUAUCAGCUUGUUGGUGAGGUAAUGGCUCACCAAGGCGUCGACGGGUAGCCGGCCUGAGAGGGUGACCGGCCACACUGGGACUGAGACACGGCCCAGACUCCUACGGGAGGCAGCAGUGGGGAAUAUUGCACAAUGGGCGGAAGCCUGGUGCAGCAACGCCGCGUGAGGGAUGACGGCCUUCGGGUUGUAAACCUCUUUUAGCAGGGAAGAAGCGAGAGUGACGGUACCUGCAGAAAAAGCGCCGGCUAACUACGUGCCAGCAGCCGCGGUAAUACGUAGGGCGCAAGCGUUAUCCGGAAUUAUUGGGCGUAAAGAGCUCGUAGGCGGUUUGUCGCGUCUGCUGUGAAAUCCCGAGGCUCAACCUCGGGCCUGCAGUGGGUACGGGCAGACUAGAGUGCGGUAGGGGAGAUUGGAAUUCCUGGUGUAGCGGUGGAAUGCGCAGAUAUCAGGAGGAACACCGAUGGCGAAGGCAGAUCUCUGGGCCGUAACUGACGCUGAGGAGCGAAAGGGUGGGGAGCAAACAGGCUUAGAUACCCUGGUAGUCCACCCCGUAAACGUUGGGAACUAGUUGUGGGGACCAUUCCACGGUUUCCGUGACGCAGCUAACGCAUUAAGUUCCCCGCCUGGGGAGUACGGCCGCAAGGCUAAAACUCAAAGGAAUUGACGGGGACCCGCACAAGCGGCGGAGCAUGCGGAUUAAUUCGAUGCAACGCGAAGAACCUUACCAAGGCUUGACAUACACCAGAACACCGUAGAAAUACGGGACUCUUUGGACACUGGUGAACAGGUGGUGCAUGGUUGUCGUCAGCUCGUGUCGUGAGAUGUUGGGUUAAGUCCCGCAACGAGCGCAACCCUCGUUCUAUGUUGCCAGCACGUAAUGGUGGGAACUCAUGGGAUACUGCCGGGGUCAACUCGGAGGAAGGUGGGGAUGACGUCAAAUCAUCAUGCCCCUUAUGUCUUGGGCUUCACGCAUGCUACAAUGGCCGGUACAAAGGGCUGCAAUACCGUGAGGUGGAGCGAAUCCCAAAAAGCCGGUCCCAGUUCGGAUUGAGGUCUGCAACUCGACCUCAUGAAGUCGGAGUCGCUAGUAAUCGCAGAUCAGCAACGCUGCGGUGAAUACGUUCCCGGGUC
rnacentral:rRNA from 1 species